rnacentral:rRNA from 1 species
AUGCGGAGAGCCCUCCGCCACCGCCCGCGCCUCCAGCCCCCCACUGAAACACCGCCGGCGCCGUCAGCCCCUCUCCCAUGGUACGCCGCGCCGCGGGCGCCGCCAUCGCAUUCGCCGUCCACGACCGAGGCCGACCCCCUGAUCGUUGCCGCCUCCGAAGUCGCGCUCACUCUGCCAAUCCACCCCGCCCCGCUCCCGACCACGGCGCCGGCGCCGCUCCUGCGCCUCCUCCCCGCCUUCACCUCCGCCCACUUCCUCUCCCUCCUCCGCUCCAACCCCCUCUCCCUCCCGCCGCUCCCGCUCCUCUCCCUCUUCCGCCUACUCCUUCUCGCCUCCCCUCCCGGCCUCUUCCGCCACACGCCCUCCUCCUUCCUCUCCAUGUCCCACCUCCUCCUCCUCCACCGCCUCCCGGACCUCGCUCGCCCGCUCCUCCGCCUCCUAGUCUCCCGACUCGGCCGCUCCUCUCCGCCGCGCCUCCUCCCACUCCUCGUCCCCGCCGCCUCCCCCGGAGACCCCGCCCGUCUCGUCUCCGAACUCGCUGCGGCCUACGCCGACGAGGGCCUCCUCGCCGACGCCUGCUCCCUCGUCCUCCUCGCCCUCCGCGGCGGCACCCGCCUACCGGCGCCCGUGUGCUUCGGCCUCAUGAGCCGGCUCCCCACCACUCCCGAAGCAUACGCUUUCUACCUGCAGCUGCUUGACGCCGGCAUGCCCCCUGAGGUCAGGCAGUUCAACGUGCUGAUGCGAGAUUUUGUUAGAUUUGGAGACCUUGCGAGUGCGCGCAAGGUGUUCGACGAAAUGCGAACCAGGAGCGUGCAGCCGACUGUGGUCAGCUUCAACACCUUGAUUUCAGGCAUGUGUAGAGCGCGCGAUCUGGACGGUGCAGACGAGCUGUACAAGGGAAUGGCGCAGAUGGGUAUCACACCUGAUGUCUACACUUACAGUGCUCUGAUAAAGGGUUUGUCCAGUUCAGGGAGGAUCGAGGAUGCAACAAAGAUGUUUGAUGAAAUGCGCGAGAGGGGCGUGAAACCGAAUGCCAUCGUGUUCACAACAUUGAUCGAUGCACAUUGCAAGGCUGGGGAUGUGAAGGCUGGAAUGGAAUUGUACCAGGACAUGAGGGCAAGGGGUGUGAUGCCAGAUUUAGUGGCAUACAAUGCACUAUUGAAUGGGCUUUGUCGGGCGAGAAAUUUUGAGGCUGCCGAAUGCAUUGUGGAAGAGAUGAGGGGCACAGGUCUGAAGCCAGAUAAGGUGACUUACACCACACUCAUUGAUGGUUGCUGCAAGGACGGCAAGCUAGACACGGCGAUGGAUAUUAAGCAGAAAAUGGCGGACGAAGAGGUUGCGUUGGAUGAGGUGACAUAUACAGCACUCAUCUCCGGGUUGAGCAAGGCACAACGGCCAGUCGAUGCCGAGAGGAUCCUUGUUGAGAUGAUGGAAGCUGGUUUGGAGCCCGACAACACGACCUACACCAUGGUGAUUGACGCCUUCUGUAGGAAAGGCGACGUGAAGACAGGCUUUAAACUACUGAAGGAGAUGCAGAACAAGGGUCGAAAACCAGGAGUUGUGACAUACAACGUGAUUAUGAGUGGCCUCUGCAAGCUGGGGCAGCUGAAGAAUGCCGACAUGCUUCUGAAUGCAAUGCUCAAUAUAGGGGUGCCCCCAGAUGAUAUCACAUACAACAUUCUCUUGGAUGGGCAGUGCAAGCAUGGAAAAGUUACUGAUUCUGAAGAGCUGAAAAGUGCAAAAGGAAUGGUGCCAGAUUUGGGCGUUUAUACUUCACUGAUCAGCGAACUUGUCAAGAAGAAACCAGCUAAGAGCUACCACGAUAGAUAA